AGGGUUUGAUCAUGGCUCAGAACGUACGCUGGCGGCACGCCUAACACAUGCAAGUCGAACGAAGUAGCAAUACUUAGUGGCAGACGGGUGAGUAACAUGUAGGUAUCUGCCCUUUGGCCUGGAAUAACACGAGGAAACUUGUGCUAAUACCGGAUAAGUCUUUACAGAGAAAGCUUUAUGCACCAUUGGAUGAGCCUGCACUUGAUUAGUUUGUUGGUGGGGUAAUGGCCUACCAAGACUGUGAUCAAUAGCUGAUUUGAGAGGAUGAUCAGCCACAUUGGGACUGAGACACGGCCCAAACUCCUACGGGAGGCAGCAGUGGGGAAUCUUGCACAAUGGAGGAAACUCUGAUGCAGCGAUGCCGCGUGAGUGAAGAAGGCCUUUGGGUUGUAAAGCUCUUUCGUCGGGGAAGAAAAUGACUGUACCCGAAUAAGAAGGUCCGGCUAACUUCGUGCCAGCCGCCGCGGUAAUUC
rnacentral:rRNA from 1 species